rnacentral:rRNA from 1 species
GUGGUCCUACGGGGCGCAGCAGUAGGGAAUCUUCGGCAAUGGGCGCAAGCCUGACCCAGCAACGCCGCGUGAAGGAAGAAGGCUUUCGGGUUGUAAACUUCUUUUCUGGGGGACGAAGAAAGUGACGGUACCCCAGGAAUAAGCCACGGCUAACUACGUGCCAGCAGCCGCGGUAAUACGUAGGUGGCAAGCGUUAUCCGGAUUUAUUGGGUGUAAAGGGCGUGUAGGCGGGAAUGCAAGUCAGAUGUGAAAACUAUGGGCUCAACCCAUAGCCUGCAUUUGAAACUGUAUUUCUUGAGUGCUGG